UCCUUGGUGGCUCAGACAGUAAAGAAUCUGCCUGCAAUGCAGGAGGCCUGGGUUCAAUUCCUAGGUCAGGAA
rnacentral:tRNA from 1 species